UACGAAGGGGGCUAGCGUUGCUCGGAAUCACUGGGCGUAAAGCGCACGUAGGCGGAUCUUUAAGUCAGGGGUGAAAUCCUGGAGCUCAACUCCAGAACUGCCUUUGAUACUGGGGAUCUCGAGUCCGGAAGAGGUGAGUGGAACUCCGAGUGUAGAGGUGAAAUUCGUAGAUAUUCGGAAGAACACCAGUGGCGAAGGCGGCUCAUUGGUCCGGUACUGACGCUGAGGUGCGAAAGCGUGGGGAGCAAACAGG
rnacentral:rRNA from 1 species